GAUUUCAACUAAAAAAGUCAUCAAUAACAAAGAUGUAUAACUCAUCGAUAUCUAUAACUUUUAUUUUGGUCAUUUCUUCAUCCGAUAAAGUGAUAGUAAUAUUGUUCAUAAAAUUCACAUAUCUCUCGUCUGGUUAGAAACUAUAACACAGAUAUGUCAAUUUUAUGCACAAUGUUACUAACACUUUGUCAGAUAAAGAAAUGACAAAAAUAAAAGUUAUACAUCUUGAUGAGUUAUACAACUUUGUUGUUGAUGACUUUUUUUGUUGAAAUC
rnacentral:pre_miRNA from 1 species